rnacentral:rRNA from 1 species
UACGGGAGGCAGCAGUGGGGGAUAUUGCGCAAUGGGGGCAACCCUGACGCAGCAACGCCGCGUGAAGGAUGAAGGUUUUCGGAUUGUAAACUUCUUUUAUCAGGGACGAAAAUUGACGGUACCUGAUGAAUAAGCUCCGGCUAACUACGUGCCAGCAGCCGCGGUAAU